rnacentral:tRNA from 1 species
AAGGAUUUAAGUUAAUUAAACUAUCGGCCUUCAAAGCCAAAAAUAGAAGAUUUUUCUAAGCCUUA